AGUGAACGCUGGCGGUAUGCCUAACACAUGCAAGUCGAACGGCAGCACAGUAAGAGCUUGCUCUUACGGGUGGCGAGUGGCGGACGGGUGAGGAAUACAUCGUAAUCUACUUUUUCGUGGGGGAUAACGUAGGGAAACUUACUCUAAUACCGCAUACGACCUACGGUUGAAAGCGGUGGAUCUUCGCAGCGUGCGCGAUUGAAUUAGCCGAUGUCGGAUUAGUUAGUUGGCGGGGUAAAGGCCCACCAAGGCGACGAUCCGUAGCUGGUCUGAGAGGAUGAUCAGCCACACUGGAACUGAGACACGGUCCAGACUCCUACGGGAGGCAGCAGUGGGGAAUAUUGGACAAUGGGCGCAAGCCUGAUCCAGCCAUACCGCGUGGGUGAAGAAGGCCUUCGGGUUGUAAAGCCCUUUUGUUGGGAAAGAAAAGCAGCAGGUUAAUACCCCGCUGUUCUGACGGUACCCAAAGAAUAAGCACCGGCUAACUUCGUG
rnacentral:rRNA from 1 species